AAUCCGGUUCAUUUAUUCGAUAGCCUGACUGGUUUGAUAUUCAGAGCUUUGCCUAAAACCCUACUCCUGAACCUUCGUUCUCAAGCAUACUACUAUGGACGUUGACGCCAUAGGAGACCAUGCCGAGAAGCUCAAGUCCCUUCGAAUUGACGAAUACGAAGAUGAUGACGACGACGAUGACGAAGAAGAAGAAGCUGUCACGCUUGGUUUCGUUGAGAACCCCAAAAAUGAAUGGUCUCUUGAGCGCCAAUUUUUCCCCAGCAAAGCUGGCGGAGUACCGGCUUGGCUUGAUCCUGUGGAUAUACCAUUAGGGAGGUCAUCAAUUUGUGACAUUUGUGGCGAACCUUUACAAUUCUUGCUUCAGGUAUUCUAUUCAUUCAAAGAUGUUUAUGCACCUACUAAGAAGGAAAGUGCAUUUCAUCGGAUGCUGUUUGUUUUCAUGUGCCGUUCCAUGAAAUGUCUUCUCAGGGAUCAGCAUGAGCAGUGGAAACGCCACCCGGAGAAGCCAUCUAGAAGUGUGAAGGUUUUCCGUUGUCAGUUACCUCGCUUUAAUCCUUUUUACUCAAGUGAACCGCCUAAGUAUGAUGGGAAUUACAAACCUUCUGGCAUUGGAGCUACUCUUUGCAAUUGGUGUGGAACAUGGAAAGGAGAUAAACUCUGCAGUAGUUGUAGACAGGUGUGGUACUGCUCUGAGAAACACCAGGUAAUGAGUUGGCGCUCAGGUCAUAAAUUUGUUUGCCAGCAGAUGAAAGUUUCUUCACCUAUUGGCGAAUCGAAUAAAACUGGAGCCACUUCAUUGGAGUCUCAUAAAGUUGGAAGCAAGAAUGUGUGGCCUGAAUUUGAAAUCAUCAUUGAACACGAAAGUGAAUAUAACACAGACAUUCCUGAGGAUAACGACUUAUCUAAUUCCUUGAUCUCGAAGAACAAGAUUGAUGACACAAUGAAUUCACUUAUGGAUAGUUUUCAGGGUGAUGAUGACAAAAAGAGUUGGGUUGACUUCCAAGAACGCAUUGCCAAGGCCCUCGAACAAGUGUUGAGGUACUAUAGGGAUACAAAUGCGAAGCCAAUAUGGCCUGUUUCGAGUGGUCGGCCAUCCAAUGCUGAUAUCCCUAAAUGCAGUUAUUGUGGUGGACCAAGAUGUCAUGAAUUUCAGAUUUUACCACAGCUGCUAUAUUACUUUGGAGUAGACAAUGAAGCAGACUCUUUGGAUUGGGCUUCAAUUGUGGUGUAUGCAUGUGAAGCUUCUUGCGAAGCAGGUUUGCCUUACAAAGACGAAUUCAACGUAGCGGUGAGGGUGAGACAUUUGGUCUGCUAGGGUUUUUUUUCCCUCUUUCAAUCACUGUAGCGGUGUAGCCAUUCUCUCUUCCUCUCCCUCCGCAGUCUCUCUCGUUCGCUUCAGCCGCCGCCGCAACCCGCUUCCCCUGCCGCCGCGCAACACGCUUACCCGCCGCCGCAACCUAAUUUUCUAUUAGUGUAGGAGAGGAAAGAGGCACACAAAACCCAACGGCUGCUGUGCAUCUUUUAAUUAAGGAGCUUCUGCCUCAUCUGUUCUUGUUUUUUGAGGUAACCUUUAUCUUGUGUGCGGAAGAUUGUCAUAAGAAAUUGCUUGUUGAGAUUUGUAGCACCUGUAUUUGUGUUUUUUUUCUUCUUUUUUGUUAUUUAGAAUGAGGCAAUCCAAGCCACAAAAUACUUACUUUUAUUUAGCCUUUAGAAGUAUUAUAGAAAUAGCCUUUGGGGAUUUUUGGUGCUGACUUUAUCUUCUUCCAAUCUCUGUUAUACUAUAAUUUAUUCAAGCAAAAAAAAAACAAAAAACAAGAAAUAAGGAGAUUGACUUUAGUGAAAAAUUCACUGUGGCUUGGGGUAAUGUUUACAUACAUACUUUUAUGUUGUUGAAAAUAUCUAAUUAUCAAUUCUUUCAGAAAUAAAAUAGUUUGUCUCAACUUGUUAGUAUCUUUUAAUAUGUUUAGCCUUGUUUUUCACACAUAAAGAAGAGUCUUGCUCCACUAGCUGACCUCAUCUAGUGGGACAAGACUCUUCUUCUUAUCUUCUUUCAAAUUACUUAAGCAACUUAUUUAAAUAGUAUUAGAAAAUUGUUAUUCGAAUUAAAGACGAUCUGUUGUCAUUGUUGCUCUCUUGUAUAUUAUGGAUUCUCUUUCC